rnacentral:rRNA from 1 species
AGGGGAGCGUUCUGUAAGCCUGCGAAGGUGGCCUGUGAGGGUUGCUGGAGGUAUCAGAAGUGCGAAUGCUGACAUAAGUAACGAUAAAGCGGGUGAAAAGCCCGCUCGCCGGAAGACCAAGGGUUCCUGUCCAACGUUAAUCGGGGCAGGGUGAGUCGACCCCUAAGGCGAGGCCGAAAGGCGUAGUCGAUGGGAAACGGGUUAAUAUUCCCGUACUUGGUGUUACUGCGAAGGGGGGACGGAGAAGGCUAUGUUGGCCGGGCGACGGUUGUCCCGGUUUAAGCGUGUAGGUGUGUGUUCCAGGUAAAUCCGGUUCACUUUAACACUGAGGCGUGAUGACGAGGCACUACGGUGCUGAAGCAACAAAUGCCCUGCUUCCAGGAAAAGCCUCUAAGCAUCAGGUAACAUCAAAUCGUACCCCAAACCGACACAGGUGGUCAGGUAGAGAAUACCAAGGCGCUUGAGAGAACUCGGGUGAAGGAACUAGGCAAAAUGGUGCCGUAACUUCGGGAGAAGGCACGCUGACACGUAGGUGAAGUGAUUUACUCAUGGAGCUGAAGUCAGUCGAAGAUACCAGCUGGCUGCAACUGUUUAUUAAAAACACAGCACUGUGCAAACACGAAAGUGGACGUAUACGGUGUGACGCCUGCCCGGUGCCGGAAGGUUAAUUGAUGGGGUCAGCGCAAGCGAAGCUCCUGAUCGAAGCCCCGGUAAACGGCGGCCGUAACUAUAACGGUCCUAAGGUAGCGAAAUUCCUUGUCGGGUAAGUUCCGACCUGCACGAAUGGCGUAAUGAUGGCCAGGCUGUCUCCACCCGAGACUCAGUGAAAUUGAACUCGCUGUGAAGAUGCAGUGUACCCGCGGCAAGACGGAAAGACCCCGUGAACCUUUACUAUAGCUUGACACUGAACAUUGAGCCUUGAUGUGUAGGAUAGGUGGGAGGCUUUGAAGUGUGGACGCCAGUCUGCAUGGAGCCGACCUUGAAAUACCACCCUUUAAUGUUUGAUGUUCUAACGUGGACCCGUAAUCCGGGUUGCGGACAGUGUCUGGUGGGUAGUUUGACUGGGGCGGUCUCCUCCUAAAGAGUAACGGAGGAGCACGAAGGUUGGCUAAUCCUGGUCGGACAUCAGGAGGUUAGUGCAAUGGCAUAAGCCAGCUUGACUGCGAGCGUGACGGCGCGAGCAGGUGCGAAAGCAGGUCAUAGUGAUCCGGUGGUUCUGAAUGGAAGGGCCAUCGCUCAACGGAUAAAAGGUACUCCGGGGAUAACAGGCUGAUACCGCCCAAGAGUUCAUAUCGACGGCGGUGUUUGGCACCUCGAUGUCGGCUCAUCACAUCCUGGGGCUGAAGUAGGUCCCAAGGGUAUGGCUGUUCGCCAUUUAAAGUGGUACGCGAGCUGGGUUUAGAACGUCGUGAGACAGUUCGGUCCCUAUCUGCCGUGGGCGCUGGAGAACUGAGGGGGGCUGCUCCUAGUACGAGAGGACCGGAGUGGACGCAUCACUGGUGUUCGGGUUGUCAUGCCAAUGGCACUGCCCGGUAGCUAAAUGCGGAAGAGAUAAGUGCUGAAAGCAUCUAAGCACGAAACUUGCCCCGAGAUGAGUUCU